CUCAAGCAUGUUGUAGCGAUUCGAUCUCUAAGUCAUAUGGGCUCACCUAACAAUUAUUAACCAUACUUCUUAAUUAAGUCAGACCCACCAUUCACAUGCAGGUAUGAAGCCGUCAUUGGGACUCUCACAUGAUAGUUGUUGGAUCUAACCCCAUCCUCACCUUGGAGUAAUUUUUUGUUAAUAAAGUGGUUAAGUAUUUUCAGUGCAAUUGAACCACUAUGAUCAACUGAGAACAAUCAACACCAGUAAGACCCCC
rnacentral:lncRNA from 1 species